rnacentral:rRNA from 1 species
AAAACAAACCUACGGGAGGCAGCAGUAGGGAAUAUUGGGCAAUGGAGGCAACUCUGACCCAGCCAUGCCGCGUGCAGGAUGAAGGCGCUCAGCGUUGUAAACUGCUUUUAUCUGGGAAGAACGGUAGUCCUGCGGGAUUAUGUGACGGUACCAGAGGAAUAAGCACCGGCUAACUCCGUGCCAGCAGCCGCGGUAAUACGGAGGGUGCGAGCGUUGUCCGGAUUUAUUGGGUUUAAAGGGUGCGUAGGUGGUUUAGUAAGUCUGGUUUGAAAGCUGGUCGCUUAACGAUCAGAUGUGGCUGGAAACUGCUGGACUUGAAUGCGGUGGCGGUAGCUGGAAC